rnacentral:rRNA from 1 species
CCUACGGGGUGCAGCAGUGAGGAAUAUUGGUCAAUGGACGAGAGUCUGAACCAGCCAAGUAGCGUGAAGGAUGACUGCCCUAUGGGUUGUAAACUUCUUUUAUAUGGGAAUAAAAUGUUCCACGUGUGGGAUUUUGUAUGUACCAUAUGAAUAAGGAUCGGCUAACUCCGUGCCAGCAGCCGCGGUAAUACGGAGGAUCCGAGCGUUAUCCGGAUUUAUUGGGUUUAAAGGGAGCGUAGGUGGGUUGUUAAGUCAGUUGUGAAAGUUUGCGGCUCAACCGUAAAAGUGCAGUUGGAACUGGAAGUCUUGAGUACGGUAGAGGUGGGCGGAAUUCGUGGUGUAGCGGUGAAAUGCUUAGAUAUCACGAAGAACUCCGAUUGCGAAGGCAGUUCACUGGACUGCAACUGACACUGAGGCUCGAAAGUGUGGGUAUCAAACAGGAUUAGAUACCCUAGUAAUC